UUUAGACUGUAACUGCUGGAACAGACUGAAAUAAUCAGCUCUGGUUUACACAGAUAAUUGCCUGUUACACAAUAAGAAGGACAGCGUUUGUGACAUUGUUUGUGACACUUUGACACAUCGAGGCGCGGAUGAGCCGACAACCCACGCCGAAGACGAGGCUGUGGAGAUCAGGUCCCUGCUGCAGGGAUCCAGGUUACCAGCAACCAAUUAGCUCGUUCAGAUGAAGGGAGGCCUGCAUGCUACAGCAUACUGGGCUAAUGACACUCCGGGUACUCUCCUCUGUGUCAGAUUAAGGUGUGAACGCAGUAAUGGCACUUAGGUGCAGAUCAAAACAACCGUUUGGAGGAGGUGGACUUGGUACGGUUCCAGAUGAACUCCAGAGUGAUUCAUUUAUGGUGUGAAUGUGAUCCGACCCCAAUACGAACCAAGUUUGAGAUAAAAAAUGUCCUAUAGCAACUUUGAAAGUAAGUAGAACGUUACAAAGUUUUAAAUGGUAUGGCUUCCAGUCAUUCAAGCAAACUCCUCAACAUGUAUAACCCCAA